rnacentral:tRNA from 1 species
GGGAGUGUAGCUUAGUGGUACAGUGCUUACCUCUAGCAUGUGCAAGACCCCAGGUUCAAGUUCUGUCACUGCCC